rnacentral:rRNA from 1 species
GAUGAACGCUGGCGGCGUGCCUAAUACAUGCAAGUCGAGCGAACAGAUGAGGAGCUUGCUCCUCUGACGUUAGCGGCGGGCGGGUGAGUAACACGUGGAUAACCUACCUAUAAGACUGGGAUAACUUCGGGAAACCGGAUCUAAUACCGGAUAAUAUAUUGAACCGCAUGGUUCAAUAGUGAAAGACGGUUUUGCUGUCACUUAUAGAUGGAUCCGCGCCGCAUUAGCUAGUUGGUAAGGUAACGGCUUACCAAGGCAACGAUGCGUAGCCGACCUGAGAGGGUGAUCGGCCACACUGGAACUGAGACACGGUCCAGACUCCUACGGGAGGCAGCAGUAGGGAAUCUUCCGCAAUGGGCGAAAGCCUGACGGAGCAACGCCGCGUGAGUGAUGAAGGUCUUCGGAUCGUAAAACUCUGUUAUUAGGGAAGAACAAAUGUGUAAGUAACUAUGCACGUCUUGACGGUACCUAAUCAGAAAGCCACGGCUAACUACGUG